GACGAACGCUGGCGGCGUGCCUAAUACAUGCAAGUCGAGCGGACAGAAGGGAGCUUGCUCCCGGAAGUUAGCGGCGGACGGGUGAGUAACACGUGGGCAACCUACCCUGUAGAUCGGGAUAACAUCGAGAAAUCGGUGCUAAUACCGGAUAAUCAUUUGAAGUGCAUGCUUCGAAUGUAAAGGAUGGCUCCGGCUAUCACUACGGGAUGGGCCCGCGGCGCAUUAGCUAGUUGGUAAGGUAAUGGCUUACCAAGGCAACGAUGCGUAGCCGACCUGGGGGGGUGAUCGGCCACACUGGGACUGAGACACGGCCCAGACUCCUACGGGAGGCAGCAGUAGGGAAUCUUCCGCAAUGGACGAAAGUCUGACGGAGCAACGCCGCGUGAGUGAUGAAGGUUUUCGGAUCGUAAAGCUCUGUUGUUAGGGAAGAACAAGUGCCGUUUGAAUAAGGCGGCACCUUGACGGUACCUAACCAGAAAGCCACGGCUAACUACGUGCCAGCCGCCGCCGUAAGAC
rnacentral:rRNA from 1 species